AUUGAACGCUGGCGGCAGGCCUAACACAUGCAAGUCGAGCGAGCGGCGGACGGGUGAGUAAUUUCACGGAAACUGCCUGUUGGUGAGGGAUAACUACUGGAAACGGUAGCUAAUACCGCAUACCAUCAGAUUUGCCCAGAUGGGAUUAGCUAGUUGGUGGGGUAACGGCCCACCAAGGCGACGAACCCUAGCUGGUCUGAGAGGAUGACCAGUCACACUGGAACUGAGACACGGUCCAUACUCCGACGGGAGGCAGCAGUGGGGAAUAUUGGACAAUGGGCGCAAGCCUGAUGCAGCCAUGCCGCGUGUAUGAAGAAGGCCUUCGGGUUGUAAAGUACUUUCAGCGGGGAGGCGUUACCAGCAGAAGAAGCACCGGCUAACUCCGUGCCAGCAGCCGCGGUAAUAC
rnacentral:rRNA from 1 species